UCAGCUCCAGCCAGCAAGUUGAAGCUCCGGCCUGCCGGGGCAGCCUGUGGCAACACUAGGUGACACCCUGGCAGCUCCGGUUAGCACUGCUGACUAGGCCAUUAAAAGUCCGGUUGGCACGGGGCUGGCAGGCUCCUUACCUGGUUCUGAGCUGGUCCCCAGAAGUGGCAACAUGUCCCUUGGCUCUUAGGUGGAGGAACGGCUACGGGGGCUCUGUGAGCUGCCCCUGCCCCGAGCGCCAGCUCUGAAGCUCCCAUUGGCCGGGAGCGGCAGCUACCUGACUGUGCCUCCACCUAGGAGCCGAGGGACAUGUCACUGCUUGCGGAGGGCCGCCCAAGUGUUUUUGAAAAACUUAACAGGAGGAGCUAACAAACAGGAGCGGCUAACAGGAGUUUUGUGAGGGACUUCUCCAGGUGAAGGAGGAGUGAUUGGCAUGACCCGUUGGGGUUAGACCACUAUCCUGUGCUCUACAUCCAGGGCUGGCUCCAGGCACCAGCGGAGGAAGCACGUGCCUGAGGCGGC